rnacentral:rRNA from 1 species
AUUGAACGCUGGCGGCAGGCCUAACACAUGCAAGUCGAGCGGAUGAGUGGAGCUUGCUCCAUGAUUCAGCGGCGGACGGGUGAGUAAUGCCUAGGAAUCUGCCUGGUAGUGGGGGACAACGUUUCGAAAGGAACGCUAAUACCGCAUACGUCCUACGGGAGAAAGUGGGGGAUCUUCGGACCUCACGCUAUCAGAUGAGCCUAGGUCGGAUUAGCUAGUUGGUGAGGUAAAGGCUCACCAAGGCGACGAUCCGUAACUGGUCUGAGAGGAUGAUCAGUCACACUGGAACUGAGACACGGUCCAGACUCCUACGGGAGGCAGCAGUGGGGAAUAUUGGACAAUGGGCGAAAGCCUGAUCCAGCCAUGCCGCGUGUGUGAAGAAGGUCUUCGGAUUGUAAAGCACUUUAAGUUGGGAGGAAGGGCAGUAAGUUAAUACCUUGCUGUUUUGACGUUACCAACAGAAUAAGCACCGGCUAACUUCGUGCCAGCAGCCGCGGUAAUACGAAGGGUGCAAGCGUUAAUCGGAAUUACUGGGCGUAAAGCGCGCGUAGGUGGUUCGUUAAGUUGGAUGUGAAAGCCCCGGGCUCAACCUGGGAACUGCAUCCAAAACUGGCGAGCUAGAGUAUGGCAGAGGGUGGUGGAAUUUCCUGUGUAGCGGUGAAAUGCGUAGAUAUAGGAAGGAACACCAGUGGCGAAGGCGACCACCUGGGCUAAUACUGACACUGAGGUGCGAAAGCGUGGGGAGCAAGCAGGAUUAGAUACCCUGGUAGUCCACGCCGUAAACGAUGUCGACUAGCCGUUGGGAUCCUUGAGAUCUUAGUGGCGCAGCUAACGCAUUAAGUCGACCGCCUGGGGAGUACGGCCGCAAGGUUAAAACUCAAAUGAAUUGACGGGGGGCCCGCACAAGCGGUGGAGCAUGUGGUUUAAUUCGAAGCAACGCGAAGAACCUUACCAGGCCUUGACAUGCAGAGAACUUUCCAGAGAUGGAUUGGUGCCUUCGGGAACUCUGACACAGGUGCUGCAUGGCUGUCGUCAGCUCGUGUCGUGAGAUGCUGGGUUAAGUCCCGUAACGAGCGCAACCCUUGUCCUUAGUUACCAGCACGUUAAGGUGGGCACUCUAAGGAGACUGCCGGUGACAAACCGGAGGAAGGUGGGGAUGACGUCAAGUCAUCAUGGCCCUUACGGCCUGGGCUACACACGUGCUACAAUGGUCGGUACAAAGGGUUGCCAAGCCGCGAGGUGGAGCUAAUCCCAUAAAACCGAUCGUAGUCCGGAUCGCAGUCUGCAACUCGACUGCGUGAAGUCGGAAUCGCUAGUAAUCGUGAAUCAGAAUGUCACGGUGAAUACGUUCCCGGGCCU